UACGAAGGGGGCUAGCGUUGUUCGGAAUCACUGGGCGUAAAGGGUGCGUAGGCGGGUCUUUAAGUCAGGGGUGAAAUCCUGGAGCUCAACUCCAGAACUGCCUUUGAUACUGAAGAUCUUGAGUCCGGGAGAGGUGAGUGGAACUGCGAGUGUAGAGGUGAAAUUCGUAGAUAUUCGCAAGAACACCAGUGGCGAAGGCGGCUCACUGGCCCGGUACUGACGCUGAGGCACGAAAGCGUGGGGGAGCAAACAGG
rnacentral:rRNA from 1 species